rnacentral:rRNA from 1 species
ACACAUGCAAGUCGAACGCUGAAGCACCAGCUUGCUGGUGUGGAUGAGUGGCGAACGGGUGAGUAAUACGUGAGUAACCUGCCCUUGACUCUGGGAUAAGCCCGGGAAACUGGGUCUAAUACUGGAUGCUACAUGUCACCGCAUGGUGGUGUGUGGAAAGGGUUUACUGGUCUUGGAUGGGCUCACGGCCUAUCAGCUUGUUGGUGAGGUAAUGGCUCACCAAGGCGACGACGGGUAGCCGGCCUGAGAGGGUGACCGGCCACACUGGGACUGAGACACGGCCCAGACUCCUACGGGAGGCAGCAGUGGGGAAUAUUGCACAAUGGGCGAAAGCCUGAUGCAGCGACGCCGCGUGAGGGAUGACGGCCUUCGGGUUGUAAACCUCUUUCAGCAGGGAAGAAGCCACAAGUGACGGUACCUGCAGAAGAAGCGCCGGCUAACUACGUGCCAGCAGCCGCGGUAAUACGUAGGGCGCAAGCGUUGUCCGGAAUUAUUGGGCGUAAAGAGCUCGUAGGCGGUUUGUCGCGUCUGCUGUGAAAGCCCGGGGCUUAACCCCGGGUGUGCAGUGGGUACGGGCAGACUAGAGUGCAGUAGGGGAGACUGGAAUUCCUGGUGUAGCGGUGGAAUGCGCAGAUAUCAGGAGGAACACCGAUGGCGAAGGCAGGUCUCUGGGCUGUUACUGACGCUGAGGAGCGAAAGCAUGGGGAGCGAACAGGAUUAGAUACCC